UAACAACUUUCAGCAGUGGAUGUCUAGGCUCGC
rnacentral:rRNA from 1 species